GUCUUUGUGGUGUAGUGAUCAGCACGCUGGACGCGUACUCCACAGGUCCGUGGUUCGACUCCCGGCGAAGGUG
rnacentral:tRNA from 1 species